CCAUGAACUAAUUGCAGCCAGCCACCCACGUGUUCUCACAUUUCAAAAUGGCUGCUCAGGCAAAGUUAAGCUCGAAGUUAAGUGCUUAAAGAGAGAAAAGAGAAGCUAUUCACUCCUUCAGACCCACCAAGAAGAAAGAAAGAACAGACUAAGACAGUUUACUAGGACCAAGUACAACCUGAGAUACAACCAGAAAAAGAAAUACUACUAAUAAUAAAAAUGAUCCUCGAAAUCCUCGUACAGUAUUUAUUGGUAACAUUCCUCUGUCAACUAAAAAGAAGGACAUACUGAAGCUGGUCUUCCCCUUUGGUUCGGUCGAGUCGCAACGGCAACGAUCAGUUGUGGUUUCUCCUGGUAAGCUUCCUGUUCGAGUUGCUAGGAAACUCGGAAAACAGUUGACAGGGACGACUACUAAUUUCUAUGUUGUUAUGGAGACGGAGGAGUCUGCUAGUGCUUGUUUGGAGUUGAAUGGACAAGAGGUUGAUGGGAGGCAUAUUAGGGUUGAUCUGGCCACACCUACUAAUGACACUCACUGUUCUGUGUUUGUAGGUAAUGUACCUUUUGGGGUUAAUGAAGAGAAACUGAGAAAAGUAUUUGAUAUUUGACUGAUGUCUGUCAUGUAUUAUAAAGCAGCAAAUUCGUUCGCUUAUUGACUUUGCUACUUCUAUAUUGCACCAACUUGGUUUCACAUCACGUUAAUUAUCACAGCUGGCAGAUAGUUCUGAACUAAUGGAGAGAUAAAUAAUAUUGUAGAAAUUUUGAGCCAAUUCUCAUUUAAAUUUUUUAAUUUAUGAUGGUCGCGUCCCUGUACUUCUAGUCAGUUGUUUCAUUUUGGUUGGAUAUUCUACAUUGACAUUAAAAAUCAGUUCCAUUAUUCAUUAUGUGCAGCUGCUGUGAUUGGUAAAAGACACGAUCUAUUGCACAAUGACUUCACACCUCCCUCUCUCCUGGCAGUCGCACCUGAUUGUGACUCCGCCCCCUUGUUAAUAAUUGAUGACUAUCCUACAAUAUUAAUGGAACUGGGCAGGCAUUUUUCAGGUAUUAAAUUGAACCCUUAAAGUGAUUGCUACUCUAUCAAUGUCAGACGCUGGUCAUGAGAUGUGUGAUGUCCAACCAAAAAAAGGGACAUCAGGAACAGGAGAGUAUGGCCAUUAUAAUUUUUAAUAAAAAUUUUAAAUUGUUCCUGGCCAAAUUUAUGUAAAUGUUCAACAGCAGUGACUACUAGAGAACAAAGGCAGCCUCAGUUUUAGCUCUCUCUCUCUCUUCCACUAGACACUUGUGUGCAUUUGUUGAUGCUAAAGCAGUUUAUUGCACAUUAGUUGAGAUACUGGCUACUGAAGAGAAACUAUCAUUUGCUUCACCGAUGGUCCGGGAACUAAACACUCUUCCUUUCAGUUCAGCUGAACUGUUUAAUCUUCGUACGCAGCUGCAGAGUAUGGACGGACCACCGGUGGUGAAAUUGAGAUUACUUCAAAAGUAUUGCAAGAAACUGACAGACUAGUACAAGUAAUAGACUCACCAAUAUUUACCUGAUAUUGUUUCUGAAAAUCCUCAUUUUGACAUCAAUGGACGGAUUCAUUAUUUUGUUGUGUGAGAGAAUCUACACACAAAACGUUUUUGCAAGACAGGACAGAUUCAUAAUCAGGAGGUUAUUAUUGGGUCCCAAGAUGUCCAGAAUAGACAGAUAUAUUGCAGUGUGUUGAUACUAAAAGGUUCUAAAUCGUCUCAUACUCAAGACGAUAUGAUAAAUCUGGCCCUGCCCACUUUCUGUUUCAAAGAUGAAGGAGAGACUGAUCAAGGAAAGUCCCUCAUCCAGAGUCUCGUGGUGAUAUCAUUCAAUUUUAUAAUAAAGUAUUUAUCGACCAACUUAAAGAUUUCGUAUCAAAGUUCUCGGAUGAGUCUAAUGAAUUGUUGUUGUCUCCUCUUCCUGUUAUAAAGAGAGCGGCUCUGUCACCACAGAAACUUUAGAGGGUUUGCCUCAUCAAAAAUCUCUCUCCCUCUAGGAGUUUCAUGUGAUUGGUUCAUCAGUGAAUAGGAUUACUUGUAAGAGGAGUUGGACUGUACAUUAGUAUGUACCAGUCCUGGUAUUAAUGGUCCUGCUAAGAGAAGUAACAUUGAGAUAACUAUGGAAUCAUCAUUAUGUACUGCAGUACAUGUAUGUAAAACUGGACACUUCAAGUACUUGUUAAUAUUUUCAAUAUGUAGUACCCAGUAUUUGUUUAUGAAUGGUAUAAUCAUGAGCAUGGCAUAGCAACUUUCACAUGUAUGUAAUGUCAUAAUGA
rnacentral:lncRNA from 1 species